UACGGAGGGUGCAAGCGUUAAUCGGAAUAACUGGGCGUAAAGGGCACGCAGGCGGGCUUUUAAGUGAGGUGUGAAAUCCCCGGGCUUAACCUGGGAACAGCAUUUGAGACUGGGAGUCUAGAGUUAUUUAGGGAGGGGUAGAAUUCCACGUGUAGCGGUGAAAUGCGUAGAGAUUUGGUGGAAUACCGAAGGCGAAGGCAGCCCCUUGGGAAUGGAUUGACGCUCAUGUGCGAAAGCGUGGGGAGCAAACAGG
rnacentral:rRNA from 1 species